AACGAACGCUGGCGGCAGGCCUAACACAUGCAAGUCGAGCGAGACCUUCGGGUCUAGCGGCGGACGGGUUAGUAACGCGUGGGAACGUGCCCUUCUCUGCGGAAUAGCCACUGGAAACGGUGAGUAAUACCGCAUACGCCCUUCGGGGGAAAGAUUUAUCGGAGAAGGAUCGGCCCGCGUUAGAUUAGAUAGUUGGUGGGUAACGGCCUACCAAGUCUACGAUCUAUAGCUGGUUUUAGAGGAUGAUCAGCAACACUGGGACUGAGACACGGCCCAGACUCCUACGGGAGGCAGCAGUGGGGAAUCUUAGACAAUGGGCGCAAGCCUGAUCUAGCCAUGCCGCGUGUGUGAUGAAGGUCUUGGGAUCGUAAAGCACUUUCGCCAGGGAUGAUAAUGACAGUACCUGGUAAGAAACCCCGGCUAACUCCGUG
rnacentral:rRNA from 1 species